rnacentral:rRNA from 1 species
UACGGGGGGGCAAGCGUUGUUCGGAAUUACUGGGCGUAAAGGGCUCGUAGGCGGCCAACUAAGUCAGACGUGAAAUCCCUCGGCUUAACCGGGGAACUGCGUCUGAUACUGGAUGGCUUGAGUUUGGGAGAGGGAUGCGGAAUUCCAGGUGUAGCGGUGAAAUGCGUAGAUAUCUGGAGGAACACCGGUGGCGAAGGCGGCAUCCUGGACCAACACUGACACUGAGGAGCGAA